GGAGUCGUCGCAUAGUCUGGUCUAGUGCACCACCCUGCUAAGGUGGAGUCCCGAUUAUUCGGGACCGUGGGUUCAAAUCCCACCGGCUCCGC
rnacentral:tRNA from 1 species